UCACAGCAUCUCUCAAAAGCACCCUGGGAACUGUAGUUUCCUAUGGGGGGAGAGAAUAUUCUGCACAACCUUUCCCAAGGGAACUCUGGGAGUUAUAACUCUGAGAGGGUCUCUUUGGGAAACAGAACAAACUACAGUUCCCACGAUGUUCCCCAAAGCACCAUGGGAACUAUUGCUUGCUCUGGGUGUUGAGGGUUGCGAAUCCCUUGACAGAUCUAGUUCCCAAGCCCAUUUCUUUUCCUAGGGAACUCUGGGAACUGUAGCUCAUGGGAGGAACAUCACUUGGUGUCCUGAAUUCUGGGAACUGUAGCUUGCUCAGGGCGCCUGAUUCCUUCUCCUUCUAGGCUACCGGAAUGGGCUGGAACCGCCAAGUGUCACCUUGGCCUGCGACUUUGAAGGCACCGCCUGCAGCUGGGAGGACGUCAGCAUGUCUGGGUACUGGUGGUGCCCAGGGUGGGGCAGAGGCUGGGUGUGCGGCCCCGACUCCCCCUUCAACCACAUUCUGGGCACCGACCAGGGUAAACUUGCUUCAUUUGAAAGGCAGAGAAGCAUUGCUUAGCAGGUAGAGCACCCCUUUGACCUGGCGCCCCCCAACCAGGCUGGUACAUGAGCACCUCGGAGCAGCGAACCAAGCCGCCUGACUCCGCUCCCUGACCAUGAGUGACGCAGCCACAGCCUGUGAACUCCGCACCUGGUACAGUAUGGCUGAGAAAGGGGUUUUCACACCGUACAGUAUCUGCUCUCUGACCGGGCUUGGUUUAAAAGCCUCCAAGUAUUCCUUGGAUCGAGCAGUGCUAAUAUUUGCUCUGCUAAUCUUUCCACCAAACUGGCCAGCUUCUGGAUUAAACACUGGAUGAAAUGCAGAUUACGUUCUGUAUUUAAAACAAAUGUCAAAUCAAUAAAAAAUUUUCAGGAGAAAUGCUAAAAAUAUAAUUGAGAAGAGACAAUUUAAGGAAAAUUCACCAGAAAGUAUUCCUCUUUGUUGCGGUUAGUGGCUGUGGACAUGGCAUAACAUUACAGCACAUGACUCCACCCCCCAAGAAUCAUGGGAACUGUAGUUUGCCCCUAAACUAUAAGUCUCAGCACAACACAUGACUGGCUUAUCAUAGAGACCACUGCAUGCAAAAACUUGUGGUGCUAGAAGAUCUUGCGCCUUAUAUUUACCCUGGGAUCCCAACCACCGCUGCCCAGGACACCAGAGUCAACUCUACGGCUGCAAAUAUAACGUUUGAAGUGUUUAAGGUGCAUUAUACAAAUGUGACACUAGAUGGCAAUUGUGAGGUUAUGGCAAAUUCAAUAUAUUCUUCAAAACACCUUUUUUUUUUAAAGUGUUUUCAUUUUUUAGAUUCCACCACUCACACAGGUUCAACGGAGUUGCUGUCCAUCUGAAGAUCAUAAGGCCUUUUGUGCCUAUAAUUAUCCCUCAGUUGGUAAAAUCAAAGAAGUACAAAAUACUUUACAACUCUCUCUCUCUCUCUCUCUCUCUCUCUCUAUAUAUAUAUAUAAAUGUUGGAAACAAGCCUCCUUCUUCGGGAGAAGCUGGCAACUCUCCCAGGCUCCCGGCUUGGUAUCCGGUGACCUCCCUGGCUGCAAUCCCCGCAGGAUCCAGGCUAGGUCUCAAUAGGCGACACUUCCCAGCGUGGGAAAUGCACACCCCCUCCCUCCUGCUUCCCUGGCAGGGAAAAGAGAUAGUCAGAAACGUCUGUUUACAUCCUUUAUUUCUGACUUUGCAGCACUACAG